UACGUAGGGGGCUAGCGUUGUCCGGAUUUAUUGGGCGUAAAGAGCGUGUAGGCGGCCAGGUAGGUCUGCUGUGAAAACUCGAGGCUCAACCUCGAGACGUCGGUUGAAACCACCUGGCUAGAGUCCGGAAGAGGAGAGUGGAAUUCCUGGUGUAGCGGUGAAAUGCGCAGAUAUCAGGAAGAACACCCGUGGCUAAGGCGGCUCUCUAGUACGGUACUGACGCUGAGACGCGAAAGCGUGGGGAGCGAACAGG
rnacentral:rRNA from 1 species